GAUGAACGCUGGCGGCGUGCCUAAUACAUGCAAGUCGAGCGAACAGACGAGGAGCUUGCUCCUCUGACGUUAGCGGCGGACGUGUGAGUAACACGUGGAUAACCUACCUAUAAUACUGGGAUAACUUCGGGAAACCGGAUCUAAUCCCGGAUAAUAUAUUGAACCGCAUGGUUCAAUAGUGAAAGACGGUUUUGCUGUCACUUAUCGAUGGUUCCGCGCCGCAUUAGCUAGUUGGUAAGGUAACGGCUUACCAAGGCAACGAUGCGUAGCCGACCUGAGAGGGGGAUCGGCCACACGGGAACUGAGACACGGACCAGACUCCUACGGGAGGCAGCAGAAGGGAAUGGUCCGCAAUGGGCGAAAGCCUGACGGAGCAACGCCGCGUGAGUGAUGAAGGUCUUCGGAUCGUAAAACUCUGUUAUGAGGGAAGAACAAAUGUGUAAGUAAAUAUGCACGUCUUGACGGUACCUAAUCAGAAAGCAACGGCUAACUACGUG
rnacentral:rRNA from 1 species